rnacentral:lncRNA from 1 species
CAGGACUUGGGCAGGCUUCAGGGGGGCCCCUCUGCAGCAGGGGGUAAAACCACCAGCAGGGGAGGGGUUGACCUGGAGCCCCUGCUGCACCCUCACAGGUCCCCACCCCUGGGAGCUGGUGAGACAGGAUGGCCCCUAACCCCAACCCUGGGCUGGGCAAGCCGAGAACCUCGUGGGCAGAAGUGGGUGGACAUUUGUCCCAGGCUGGGGAGAUCCAGGUCUGCUCCUCUGAACUGUCUAGUUUGCACAAAGAUAAUGUUUGUGCGGGACAUCCCGUGGGAAGUUAAACAUUAAGCUGUGCUUGGAAAUGUGGUCUCCUGUGCCUAGGGCUGAGGGUCAAGGUUGUGACCUCUGGCCGUGGCUGGGAGCUUCUCCAACAGACAGGUUUUUGAGUGACUGUUUUGAAAGGUAAUGGGCCGGUAGCUCCACCUCCCAGGGUGCCCCAUGAGCCCUGUGCUGGCCCCUUGAAAAAAGGCGAAAUGCAGGGUGGCGCUGGGCUGUGCCUUUCCAAAGGCUCCUGGGUUUCCCGGAGCCAAGUCUGGAUAGCCCCCUCCCCAUCCAGGUGCAGGGACUCCUGGGCCUGGGGACAGCAUAGGACAUCUUUCCCAAGCUCAAGAAUUGUCCUCAGGAGGUGCCAGGUCUCACACACAGGUCCACUUGGGGCAGCUGCUGGGCUGGGAGGACCCUGGGGGAUCAUGAAGGGAAUUCCGCCAGCCGUCCCCCCAAACAUGCAACAGGAACAGUGGGGAGGCCUGGCAGGGCUCUACAGGAAGCCCCACAAUGUGGCCAGGGCUGGCCACUACAUGAACACACAUGGCCCCUGGUCACGGUCCAGCUGUGCAGAAUGUCUGUGCCCCUGGCCGGUUUAAUCAGCUUGUGUGUCUUUACUUUCUGAAUGGGUGUGCGAGUGAAUGGACAGGUGGAC